UCUCCCAAUUAGGGCCGUGGAAGACGACCACGUAGAUAGGUCGGAAGUGGAAGUGCGGUAACGUAUGAAGCUAACCGAUACUAAUAGCCCGAUCGGCUUGAUACU
rnacentral:rRNA from 1 species